rnacentral:lncRNA from 1 species
CGAGCCCAAAGCGGCCCGCUCCUCUGCCGCCUCUCCCUGGAGGGGCCAUCCAGGUGUUGAUCCUGAGACAAGGCGGGUGCAGGGGUGAAGAGGGGCUCUGGGAGGAAGAGGGGGAGGCUCCCAUGCUUCUGCAGGUGCAGCUACACUUCAGAGCCUCCCCUGGUGUCCAGGCAGCCCUGGGGGGGCUCCUGGGCGGGAGCAGGGCCGCCCCAGAGGGUGGCAGGCCAUGUGGUGUUGCCUGACGCUUCAGCAUGGCCCCGCGUUAAUCCAGCCAGGCUCGUGAAAACCCGGAUUGGAGCAGAGAGGCCUGGGGCCCUGAUCCUCUCACUUCCUUAUCGUGCUGGUCUGCCUCAUCUUCAGUGUGCUGUCCACCAUUGAGCAGUAUGUCGCCCUGGCCACGGGGACCCUCUUCUGGAUGGAGAUCGUCCUGGUCGUGUUCUUCGGGACGGAGUAUGCGGUCCGCCUCUGGUCAGCGGGCUGCCGCAGCAAGUACGUGGGCAUCUGGGGCCGGCUGCGCUUUGCCCGGAAGCCUAUCUCCAUCAUUGGUGAGUCACACCUGGCCCAGGAGGAACCCCCCCCACCCCAAGAUGUCCAGGCAAGGACCAGACACCCUCCCUGGGAAGGAGGUCGGGCAGCUGGACCCCCGUCAUGAGCACCACCAAGCAGAGGACCCCUGGGGGCUGGGAGACCCCCAGACUCUUCCAACUGUGACGGGGCAGGACCCCAAGGCCAGCAGCCCCGGGGGGUCCCUGCCGUCAGCAGCCUGCAAGCCAGGGGGGGGGAGGUGGGGGCGGG